AGGCCCAAGUGUGGUGUAAUGACAAUUCAAUAUUCUAUAAUUAUAGUUUACUACCUGCUUUGAGAACCUACUAUGUGGCAGACACUAGGCUGAAAGUUGAGGAGUGAUCAAAAGCAAGAGAAGGAUAUAUUGAUCACUGUCAUGGAGUUCAAGUACAAUUAUGAGGUAGACAGAAGAUAAUGUAAGCUCAAAAAAAAAAAAAAAGGGAGGGAGGAGUCAGUGAGGAAAUGGUUAUUUGGGGGAUUAACAGUUUCUCCUGAUACUUCUCAUGAAAUCUUGGUGUAAUCUUUAUUUUAAUGAGAUGUUUUACUGUCUUAGAAAUAUUCUUUUCAAAAUGCUGCUUUCUAAAUAAUUUGGGGGCAGUUUUUCAGCACUUUUUUUUCUCCUGCUGAAUCUCACAUAACAAUCAUUCAUUUAAAUUUUAUAACCCAAGAAAUAUAAAAAGAUGCACACCUGAAUAACUAAUACAGUUAGGAAUAUUAUCUAUCAUCCUGUCAUGAAAGGUCCUUGGCUUGCCUUGGAGAAAGCAGUGGAUUCUUUCUGUAUAGAAUACUUCAAUUUUUAGGCAUAUUUAAUUGCAAAGAAUUAGUUUAAAGCAGUUUGUUUCCCCAUUGAAUUUAAAAUGAAUAAGAGAGAGUGCUCUGACAUAAAAAAGAGUAGUGCUCAAAUUCACUGGCUCUGGCUUCUGAUCCUAUUUGAAGCUUUCUAGCACUUGUCAAACUCUCCAAGGGACUCUAUAACUUAAAGGAGGAGGUAAGUGACUCUUGGGAAGCUUAAUGUGAAAUUUGGUAUUUUGUGUUAAAGAAUUUGACUUGUGUCUUAACUUACAAUCUGCUCUCAGCACUAAAUUAUUCAAAAACUAUAAAGCAAAGGGAGAUGAUUCAUAGGCACAUUUGGGAGGGGUGGAAGAGUGGUUGCGAAGGGUUGUUUGCUUUUUAUUUUGUUUUAAUCAAAAUCCUAAGGAAAUAGGCUCAGAUUAGUUAAUACCUUCUGCAUCACUGAACCAUUGCUAUGCAACAAAUGUCCCCAAACUCAGUGGCUAAAAACACAAACUAUUUAUUUUCACAUGGGUGUCUUUAUGUUGCAUGGGGUUCCACUAGGCUUGACCUGGCAGUUCUGCUUCCGGCUGCAGUUGAGGGUUAACAGAACUGGCUCUGUCUCCAUGCAGCUCUCAUCCUCAGGGCAAUCCAAAGCUAGGAUGGAGCUGCAGCAAAAGCAGAAAUACCCCAAAGUCUCUUCAGAACUAGAAUAUUCAUGCUGUAAUCUUUCCCUACUUCUACAGCCAAACUCAAGGAGUGGGAAAGUAUACUCUUCCUCUUUAGAAGGAGCAACUACCCAGUUACCUAGCAAGGGAUGUGGAUACAGGGAGGGAGCAGGGACUGGAGCCAAUGAUUCAAUACCCCACACCUGCUAAUUCUUUGGCACUGAGCUGCUACUGCUUCAUUUGUGACACGUUCUUUCUUUUCCCUCCUAUGCCUCUUUCUCUAUUCCUCUCUAAUAAUUGCUUAUUAUUCCAAUUAUACAAGGAGGAUUGGUGAGUCAAAGUCAGUUGUUCAGAGUUAGUAAGAAAAAGAGUCAAAAUUCACAGGAAAGACCACAGAACUUCACACCUGAGCCCUUGGCUACAGCACUGUUUUGUUGAGGAAAGGGAUGCCCAGUACAUAAUAGAACCAGAAAUCAACCCCAGACUUUCUUUAAAGCUCAUACGCUAUCCUACAAUACAGCAUCUUUUAUAUACAAGAGAAACCUUAAUGGAAAGAGAUUAUGUAUUAAAAUAGCCAAUUUCUUUCUCCUCUUUCUCUCAGAACCUGUAUCUAAUACGUCACCUAUUCUCAAAUUCAUAACCUUUAAAUUCAUCGGUAACCAAUUGUUUCUCACCAUUUCCAUCACGAUUACCAUGAUCCAAGCCACUACCAUCUUUCAUCAGGAUGAUUGCAGUGACUUAGUUCCCUGCUUCUACCUCACAUAAAACCUGGGUGUGAUGCUCAGGAAAGCAGCCAAGAUGAUCCUUUUCAUAAGGAUUAACUUUUGGUCCAAGCCCUGCCAUGGCUCCCCAUUGUACUUGGAGUAAAUUUCAGUCUCUUUCCAAUGGCAGGGCCCUUCCUAACUAGAUCCCUCCAUCCCUUUCCUGGUUUGGCUCCAUCUCCUACUAUUUCUCCUUUCAUGCAUUUUACUCCAGUUACACUGGUCACCUUGCCAUUUCCCCAAAACGUCAAGUAGGCCCCAGUCUUAAACCUUAAGGCCUUGCAUUUGUACUGGAAUUCUCUGGCAGGGUUGAUCUUCAUGGAAAUAGUCACCUACUUACCUCCCUCAUCUUUGUCAGUUGUUUGCUGAAAUGUCAAUGAGCCUUCCUUAACACUGAAUUUAAAAUUGAAAACCCUCUCUUCCCCUGCUCCCUGUCAGUUUCUGCCCUACAAUCCCCCAAUCCCUUUAUCCUACUAUACUUUUUCUUUUCUGCUCUACCAUUUUUAAUCUCAUAACAAAUUAUAUAAUGUAAUCAUCUAUUAUGAUUUUUAUUUAUUGUCCAUCACCCAUUAUUUAGAGUAUAAAUUCAGCAAGAUAAGUUCUUCCUCUGUGCUGCUUACUGUUGUGUCUUAAAUAGUAACAAGUGUGUCUGCAACAUAACUUGAUAAAUUUUUGAUCUGUUGAAUGAACUGCUCACUGAGGCAGAGUUUCCGUAGUGCAUAGCGUUUGGAAAAAGACAAAUGCGAUUUUGUAAUGAAUGCAGGAUCUACAAAUAGCUACCUUUGUGACUUUGAGCAUGUUAAUGUUUAAGAGCCCUGCUUUUCUCUGAAAUGAUGAGCAGACUGUCAAGGUCUUACAAAACAACCUUCAUUUUUGACAGUUUCAUGGUAAUUGGAAUUCCAACAUCUGGCCUCUGGAGUUUAGCCAAGAACUGGGAGUUUACCAAAAGAGAGACAGUGUUGUUUCUGACCACAUAGAUUCCAACUACAUUUUCCAGAUCUAUUUGCAGCUUCUCUUAAAAUGGAGAACUGUCAUGUCCAAUGAGCCUUCCUCCUUCCUCUUCCCCCCUGCAGCCAGUUACCCUUCCUUCAAGCCAAGCAUGUAACACGAUUUCUUCUCUAGUUGCAAGCCGUCACUGUGGCUGGGAAAGGAAGGAGGUGGGGUAAAUUGGCUUUUAGCUACAUCCAAGGUAGCAGAGUCUGCUUUGCUGCUGCCAUCCCUUGAUGGGCAUUACAGUUGGGCACAAGAAAGAGGGAGUGUGUUGACUUAGCUCUGGCUGCCAUAACAAAGUACCACAGGCUGGUGGGCUUAAACAGCAGAAAUGUAUUUUCUCACCGUUCUGACGGUAAGAAGUCUGGAGAUCAAGGUGUUGGCAGGGUUGCUGUCUUGUGAGGCCUCUCUCCUUGGCUUUUAGAUGGCCGCCUUCUGCCUGGUCUUUCUUCUGUGUGUGCUCAUGUCUGCCUCUGAGUGUCUUCUUAUAAGGACGCCAGUCACGUUGGACGAGAGAUGACUCUAAUGACCUCAUUUAACCUUACUUACUUCUGUAAGGUCCCAGUUUCCAAAUACAGUCAUUUCUGGGGUACUGGGGGUUAGGACUCCGACACCUGAAUCUUCAAGGGCACGUUGAACCCAUUCCUGGGAGUCAUGAGAAUUAAAAGAACACGAAAUCCGUGAUUUGUGUUUGUUCAAAGUGCUUUAUUCUUCUCUGCUCUCAUAUGUAGAGUCAUUCUUUGAGCAUACAGGUGGGGUUACUAGGACAAGCUAGCUAUUUAAAAUGGAACAUGCCCAUUUGGAGUGUAAGUGCUUGUGUGAGUGAGUGGGUGGGAGUAGAUGUUCCCUAAAUAUUGAAACGUACUUUGAGGGACACAGAGCCACUUUUGAAAAUUCAAAAAUGAGUAAGGAAGAGUGAUUACAAUUAUAACUGUGAAAUAAUGGCAAUGUACCUUAUUACUAUUCCCUGUCACAGAUAGUAUUGUUUCUCCUGCAUAACCUGCCAGUUUUGAGUUCAUCUCAUAUUGCCAAAAAGAGUAAGAUAAAUAUUUCUCUGAAUAGCUUUUUGUGUUGGCAGUUCAGUCUGUCUUAUUUCUACCAGUCUCACAUAUUGAAUACCUAAAGAUCAAAUAAUGAUAGUGCUGCAGGGAGCCUGUCACUGUGACCUUCUAGACUGACAUCAGACUUUUCUCUUGAACGACACUUCCCAGACUCAUCUUUUCAACUCAUUUCCCAAGGACUGUAAAGCUGGCCUGAUGAAUUUCUUUGGCUAAUUUUAAUCUCUUAUUCCUUUCAUUUAGUAUUUGAACUCCUAUAUCUACACGUCACAGGAAACUUGCUAUCACUUAGCAUAAUUUUUCUUUAAAGCACAAAUAAAAAUCAACAAAGAAUUGUCUUCCUUCUUUUAAAAUAUAUAUUUUUUCUAUUUACUAUUACAUUGUUAGAUGUUUACCUUUUAUAAACAAUAUAUUUUUUAUAUUUUUCAUGAACACUAAAAAUCUUUAAAUCUCAUAUAUCAUCGUUUAGGGCUGAGAACUCCACAGGGUAUAUGUGUGUGUGUGUGUAUGAGAGAGAGAUUUUAAGUCACAUAGCUUAUUCUGAAGCUGAGGGCUAUAAUUAUUCAGUACUUGUGAUUCUCUGUGUUUCACUAUCUGCCAUGUGUGAGGAUUGAUAUAUCUGAGUGGGAACUCUCAGUACAUUUUGCCAGAAGUGAGUAAACCGUGUCCAGAAACCAAAUCUUUGUCAACUGGCCAAUUUUGCCAAUAAAGGUUAUUUGGAACACAACCAUAACUAUUCAUUUACAUAGAGUUGAGUAGUUGAAGCAGAGACUGCAUGCUUAUAAAGCCUAAAAUAUUUACUGUCU
rnacentral:lncRNA from 1 species